GAUGAACGCUGGCGGCGUGCCUAAUACAUGCCAGUCGAGCGAACAGACCAGGAGCUUGCUCCUCUCACGUUAGCGGCGCACGGGUGAGUAACACGUGGAUAACCUACCUAUAAGACUGGGAUAACUUCGGGAAUCCGGAGCUAAUCCCGGAUAAUAUAUUGAACCGCGUGGUUCAAUAGUGAGAGACGGUUUUUCUGUCACUUAUCGCUGGAUCCGCGCUGCAUUAGCUAGUUGGUAAGGUAACGGCUUACCAAGGCGAGGAGGGGUAUCCGACCUGAGAGAGGGAUCGGCCACACUGGAACUGAGACACGGUCAAGACUCCUACGGGAGGCAGCAGUAGGCAAUCUUCCGCAAUAGGCGAAAGCUUGACGGAGCAAGGCCGCGUGAGUGAUGAAGGUCUUCGGAUCGUAAAACUCUGUUAUUAGGGAAGAACAAAUUUGUAAGUAACUAUGCACGUAUUGACGGUACCGAAUCAGAAAGCCACGGCUAACUACGUG
rnacentral:rRNA from 1 species